UACGUAGGGUGCAAGCGUUAAUCGGAAUUACUGGGCGUAAAGCGUGCGCAGGCGGUUUUGUAAGACAGAGGUGAAAUCCCCGGGCUCAACCUGGGAACUGCCUUUGUGACUGCAAGGCUUGAGUGCGGCAGAGGGGGAUGGAAUUCCGCGUGUAGCAGUGAAAUGCGUAGAUAUGCAGAGGAACACCGAUGGCGAAGGCAAUCCCCUGGGCCUGCACUGACGCUCAUGCACGAAAGCGUGGGGAGCAAACAGG
rnacentral:rRNA from 1 species